GCCUGAGGCUCACAGAGAAACUUUGAGGACCCAGGAGCCUUUCUAGAGCCUAGGGAAGGUGGUCCGGCCUGAGGGGGUCCAUCCUCCCAGCACAGGCCCUGCACUGGGCAGGUCUACAAUCCUGAUCUGUCUAGCAUGCCCAUUGCUCAGAUGGAGAAACUGAAGUACACAGGGAUUAAGCUUCCUGCCUGCGAGUUUGCAAACCCUUAAUGGCUGGAGGGAGGGGUGUUUUGUGGGUGUGGUGGGGAGCAAGAUGUACAGCUGGGACCUGAAGACCAAGUGGCAGCUUGCUCACAAGCAGCUCAGAAAAGGCCGCUGAACCUUGCUGGAAACCUGGCCUCAGCACUUCCAUACAGAUGAAGACACUGAGCCCAGAGGGGCUGAGGACCCCAUCCAAGGCCAGCACAAUGCCAGCUGGAGUAGAGACAGGUACCUCUUCCGGAGUGGAAGUUGCUCUGGGCCCAGAGCUGGGAUGAAGGUUUGGACCCAGAUCUCUUCUACGCCAGACACAGCCAGGACACAGCCAGGACACAGUCACUCGAUCAAGCAACACCGUUCCUCUAACAAAGCAGCUAAGCCUGUUAUCUGCCUCUCCCGUCAGCUGGGAGAAGGACUUGUGUGCAGCAGAGGAACCCAAGGCUCAGAGAGACCGGUGAACUCACCCGAGGUCACACAUUCCGAAAGGAACCAGCCUAGUCACUGCCCCAUAGGGCUCCGCACUUCUCCUCAUAGUCCUUGGGGUCCCACACAAGUACUCUCCUCAGAGGCCCCCAAACCAGGGCGAGCACCUUGCCAAAGCUCUGAUCUCCCUUUCUCCCUGGUGACACUGACCAUAGCUGCAGGUUACCGGAAAGUAUCCAGGCCCAGCGCUGAGCCCACAAUAGGUGCCAGACUUCCAGCCAGACCCUGCCAAGAGUACCUACCAUGUGAACCCGAAGGCCUGGGCUGGCCAAAGCCAGGAGCCAACUUGGAGCUCGU
rnacentral:lncRNA from 1 species